CACAAAACUCUUUUACAUUAGACUUGCACAUUUUUAUGAACAGCAGAUAUGUUAAUCCCUCUCCACUGCUUCUCUCUUUCUACCCAUCCCGAGGCAUCCAGACAUUGUACCAGCUCCGAUAGUCUUCCGUGCGACGAAAAUCUCGGACCUCCACUGAGAUGAGGCUGACUCUGUGAGAAUCCUGAGACAUCUACAGAUCUACCAGCUCCAGCUGGACUCUGUGAUACUAAGAAGAGAUCUGAACUCCAUGUGAUCCUUGCACCAAUACAGCAUUUGUCUGACUGUAUAUUUAUAAUUACACCCUCCAGUGUCACCCAUAUGAGGAUGAGGUUCCCCUUCAAGGUUUCUUCCUUAACAAUUUAAGGUUUGGUUUUUAUUUUGAUGGGGGGAUUCCGGGUCCGGAGACACGCCCACUGCUGCUGAGCUGAGCAUCGACAUGGAGCACACCUGUGCCACAUAACUAGUGCAGCAUGCUAGUGGCUUUAUAAAAAGCACAUUGGAGUGGGGCUGUUUAUUUCUCUUCCGUGUGCAUCUUGUGUGGGCAGAAAAGGUCUUUUGGCUAUAUUUUCCUGUCGCUUUCCCCUGGUGCGGCCAAAGUGCGCUAGCUGCUGUUUCUAGCUGCUGUUUCUAGCUGCUGUUUCUAGCUGCUGUUUCUAGCUGCUGUUUCUAGCUGCUGUUUCUAGCUGCUGUUUCUAGCUGCUGUUUCUAAUGGCUGUUUCUAAUGGCUGUUUCUAAUGGCUGUUUCUAAUGGCUGUUUCUAGCUGCUGUUUCUAGCUGCCGUUUUAUUACGGCUAUUUUCUUAGUUGCUGUUCUGAUUAUUGCUGUUUGUUUUAUGUAUAUUUUUCAGAGCUGUUUUAAACUUGACUCAUUAUUGGGUUACAGUCGGCAUAGUGCGGACGUUGCAGCGGUGAACACUAUAUCUUGAAUACUGGGAUGAUGCGUCAGUACUGCAUUGCCGUAUAUUUAUUCUGAGUAUAAGUUUAUCGAAUUAACCGGUUUUGUAUUUCUUUCUUUCCAACCGUUUUGGUGCUCUUUAAAUUAAUCUGUUUUUACCGGUUAUCACUGGACUGUCAUUUUGUAUUGUUUUUCUUUCUUUUCUUUUGCGUCUUUUGUUUGAGUGUCUGUUUACCGCAUAUAUAUCCACCUCUGACUAUCGGACAACGAACUGUGAUUAGUGAGGCUUAACAGAGGGAGUGUAUGUUUGUCGUCCUUUUGGUUUAUCCCUUUUUUUCUUGGUUUAUCAGUAUUAAUUAUUAUGCACUGCUUUGU